UAGCUGAGCGGUAAAGCACUUGUCUUCCGAACCGAGGGUCCCGGGUUCGAAUCCUGG
rnacentral:tRNA from 1 species